rnacentral:rRNA from 1 species
GAUGAACGCUGGCGGCGUGCCUAAUACAUGCAAGUCGAGCGAACAGAUAAGGAGCUUGCUCCUUUGACGUUAGCGGCGGACGGGUGAGUAACACGUGGGUAACCUACCUAUAAGACUGGAAUAACUCCGGGAAACCGGGGCUAAUGCCGGAUAACAUUUAGAACCGCAUGGUUCGAAAGUGAAAGAUGGUUUUGCUAUUAUUUAUAGAUGGACCCGCGCCGUAUUAGCUAGUUGGUAAGGUAAUGGCUUACCAAGGCAACGAUACGUAGCCGACCUGAGAGGGUGAUCGGCCACACUGGAACUGAGACACGGUCCAGACUCCUACGGGAGGCAGCAGUAGGGAAUCUUCCGCAAUGGGCGAAAGCCUGACGGAGCAACGCCGCGUGAGUGAUGAAGGGUUUCGGCUCGUAAAACUCUGUUAUUAGGGAAGAACAAACGUGUAAGUAACUGUGCACGUCUUGACGGUACCUAAUCAGAAAGCCACGGCUAACUACGUGCCAGCCGCCGCCGUAACAC